GACAGUUGGAAGUCAAAGCCUUGUCAAGGACUAUACAGUAGUGGCAAUGAUGACUGCUUUCUCCCCCCACAGUUCUUGGCUAAUAAACCUGCUGUCAAGGCAACAUGGAUGCAGCCACAGAGAGAGGAGUGUUCCUGGCAUCUGCUCAGUUCUAACGCGUGAAACAGACAUGAGAAGAUGGAUGAAGCUGUAACCGUCUCUCUUCCCCAAAAGGGUUUCUUUCAAGAGUCUCCAAAGAGUUUUUUAGACUUUGCUCUUCACGACAAGACACC